UUGGAGGGAACCCUCUUAGGAUACAGGAUUUACACUUCAGCAAGGACCACAGGAGAUGGUUUGGAUGUGCUAUGAGGGUACCCCUGGAAUCCUAGAAAAAGUGAUGCUCUACACUGAGCAAAGUUGAAAUUCAUGAAUUUGCCAUAUCAGCGGUAAAGGAAGGAAUUUAGAAGCUUGGGGAAGUAGACAUGCUGAAAUGGAUCUAUUAUCUGAGACUGAGCAUGGGGUUAUGUUUCAUGGAAGAUCCUGAGACAACAUCCACCACAACUGCAAAGAGUACAGCGCAAAGCUCAGUGAUGAUGGUUCUCUUCUGCAAGCCAGGCAUGAAGGUGGAGGGGAGUGACAGAGCUGGGAUUAUUGAUCGAAACAGAAACAAGACUCCCGAUCCCACUGCCAAGCCAGCAGACCAGGGGCAGCAGUAGAUCCCAGGGAGCCCAAUCAUCUCAAUGACAGCAAAGUUAAACAGCGGGUCAAGGGGACUUAAUAAAAGUUUAUAACCCCAGGGGCAAAAUAGAUGGGCAACCAACCAGGACACUGCUCAAUAUACAUAAUGAAAUUUAAUAUAUGUAAUAGAUGAGCAGGAGCUUGAUCGCAGUUACCCCAAUGCCAAGUCAAAAAGUCCUGAAGUAGAGAAAACCCGCGUGCACUGUGGAUGAGGGUGUAAAUGGUGUGACCACUGUGGAAAGCUGUUUGGUAGUUCCUCGAAAAACUAAAAAGGGAAUUACCAUAUGACCCAGCAGUCUCACUCCUGGAUAUGUAUCCAAAAGAAUUAAAAGAUGAAGCUCAAGGAAAUAUCUUCAUAACCAUGCUCAUGGAAGCAUUAUUCACAGUAGCCGAGAGGAGGAAGCAACUUAAGAGUCCAUCUAUGGAUUAAUGGAUAAUAAAAUAUGGUAUAAACAUAUAAUAUAAUAUCAUUCACCCUUAGAAAAG
rnacentral:lncRNA from 1 species